rnacentral:rRNA from 1 species
UACGAAGGGGGCUAGCGUUGCUCGGAAUUACUGGGCGUAAAGCGCACGUAGGCGGUCUUUUAAGUCGGGGUGGAAAUCCUGGAGCUCAACUCCAGAACUGCCUUCGAUACUGGAAGACUCGAGUCCGGGAGAGGUGAGUGGAACUGCGAGUGUAGAGGUGAAAUUCGUAGAUAUUCGCAAGAACACCAGUGGCGAAGGCGGCUCACUGGCCCGGUACUGACGCUGAGGUGCGAAAGCGUGGGGAGCAAACAGG